rnacentral:rRNA from 1 species
AAUGAACGCUGGCGGCGUGGAUUAGGCAUGCAAGUCGAACGCGAAAGCGGCCGCAAGGUCGCGAGUAGAGUGGCGAAAGGGCGAGUAAUGCUUGGAUGACCUACCCUCGAGACGGGGAUAACAGUUCGAAAGGACUGCUAAUACCCGAUGGUCCAUCCCGGAUGCGUCCGGGCUGGUAAACGGUUGAUUCCGCUCGUGGAGGGGUCCAAGUCCUAUCAGCUUGUUGGUGAGGUAACGGCUCACCAAGGCGACGACGGGUAGGCGGUCUGAGAGGACGACCGCCCGCAUCGGGACUGAGACACUGCCCGGACUCCUACGGGAGGCUGCAGUCGAGAAUCUUCUGCAAUGGGGGCAACCCUGACAGAGCGACGCCGCGUGGAGGAUGAAGGCCCUCGGGUUGUAAACUCCUGUCACAUGUUAAGAAACGUACGGGUUCACCCGUACGCCGACGAAGGCAUGAGAGGAAGUCACGGCUAACUUCGUGCCAGCAGCCGCGGUAAGACGAA